AGUGAACGCUGGCGGUAGGCCUAACACAUGCAAGUCGAACGGCAGCACAGUAAGAGCUUGCUCUUACGGGUGGCGAGUGGCGGACGGGUGAGGAAUACAUCGGAAUCUACUUUUUCGUGGGGGAUAACGUAGGGAAACUUACGCUAAUACCGCAUACGACCUACGGGUGAAAGCAGGGGAUCUUCGGACCUUGCGCGAUUGAAUGAGCCGAUGUCGGAUUAGCUAGUUGGCGGGGUAAAGGCCCACCAAGGCGACGAUCCGUAGCUGGUCUGAGAGGAUGAUCGGACGGAAGGGAACUGAGAGAAGGUCUAGACGCAGACGGGAGGCAGCAGCAGGGAAUGUGCCGCAAGGGGCGAAAGCCUGACGGAGCAAAGCCGCGUGAGUGAGGAAGGUAUUCGGAGCGUAAAACGCUCUGAUGAGGGAAGAAAAAAAGGGUAAGGAACUAUGCACGUCUGGACGGUACCGGACCAGAAAGACACGGAUAAGUACGUG
rnacentral:rRNA from 1 species